CCGGUUGCACGUGCCAGUGUUUUGUGUACGUGCGGCUGCAGCUGGGCGGAGAAAGGCCCGGAAGCCAAGGGUUGGGCAGCUAGGGCUCAACCAGAGUUGGGGCGCGGCGGGGAGGGGCUGGCCCGCUGGCCCUGGCGAUCUUUAAAUUCUCCUGCUCUUAGGCAGCUUGUGCACUCUUACCUGUUUGCAACGAGUGCCCCACCGUUUUGCUCUCCCAAGGACUCCAGUCCACUACUUUAGGCGGGAAAUGCAGUUGCUUGAUAGCAACCCAGAGGUGAGACUCAGGCCGCUUUUGUCCUGCAGGUUUAAGCUUCCGGAGGUCUGACUUCUUGGGAGCGCUAGCUAAGGUAGAUAUUCUGAAGCAACUGCUAGAGACGGGGGCCUCCGUCAACGCACCUCCGGAUCCCUGUGAGCAGUCGCCUGUCCACCUGGCUGCAGGUGGCGGCCUUUCUUGCUUUCUUCUUUGGCAACUGCAGACUGGCGCUGACCUCAACCAACAGGAUGUUUUUGGAGAAGCUCCACUACACAAGGCAGCAAAAGUUGGAAGCAUGGAGUGCCUCAGCCUGCUUGUAGCCAGUGAUGCUCAAAUUGAUUUAUGUAAUAAGAAUGGGCAAACAGCUGAAGAUCUUGCGUGGUCAUGUGGAUUUCCAGAAUGUGCCAAGUUUCUUACAACAAUUAAAUGUAUGCAGACAAUAAAGUCAAGUGAACAAUCAAAUAUAGGUCAUUGUGUUCCAGCGCUCAGACAGAAACGAAAUUUUGAAAGUGAAGAAAAUACAAAUGGGAAAAGGAAGUGUUGAUGUUGUAUUGGUUAUGAAGAGGUAUGGAGAAAGUCUUCAUGAAGGUCUACCGCCCAGCUAUAAACCAUGGCUUUUGGUUCAUCAAGUGUGUCUCAAUUUCUUCUAAGAAGGAGGAAAACUUUCUUCUAAGUGAAGAUAACAUUCAAGAAUACAUGUAUUUACAUGCCUAUAAUGUUCUGGUUGUGCAUGCUUUGUCUUUUAAUUUAUUAAAGGAAUGUCUAAAGAAAAAACUCUUUGUGCAAUACAACCUUUGGAAAAAAGAAUAGAAACCUUCAAACUACACCCAGGAUUUAAUCUGAAAUUAAAUUUAUUCUUUAUUAACAAAUUGAUAAAGUGCAACUUUACUACAAUCUUUGAGUCCAAGAUAUUUUAAAUAAUAUUUGGUCGCUGAGGAAGACAUAAAUUAUAGUAAGCAUCCUUGUUCCAAAAAUCUGGGCCCUUCCAUCCACACCAGCCCUAGAUAUGGGAGAAAGAAAACCUUUUACAAAGUGAUAGGACCUCAUGAUCAAAACUGUAACACUUUACAAUCCUGUUCUAUCAGCAGGAUCUGGGAAUAAAAUUCUAAAUACCUAUAAAUCAAAUAUUUGAAUUCCUAUACAACACAGAAAAAUAGCUUAUGUGGACCCAUUUCAGACAGAAUUUUUAAAAAUUUUAAUUCUAUGAUAUUUAAACAUAGAAAUCAUUAAAAAAAGAAAAGCUUCAUAAUGGUACUGUUAUUCAAUACCACAUUUUAUUGAUUCUGAGAUGUACCGUUUUACAAUUCUCAUAGUUGAGGGCAUGUGAUAGUUUAGCAUCUGUCCAUACAAGACAUACAGACAGUGAGGAAGACUGCCAUCCAACUAGAAAGUGGGCCUUGCCAGCCACUGAAUGGGCCAGUGCCUUGAUCCUGGAGUUCCCAGGAGUGGCAUCUCAGCCAUGAGAAAUGUGAGCUUGGCCCUGGAGUUGCUUUCUAUGUCCUGCAUUUUUCUCAGGCUGUAAUCAUUCCACUUUCCAAUCUUCAUGUCAGUAUAAAUCCUUUUCCCCAGCAGAGAAAAUGACUUUCAAACAAAAUCUCACUAUGAAUAUAAAAGUUUGUCAAAUUUCUUCUAGGGCCAUUGAUUUAUUUACUUAAAGACCCAAGCUAAUGACUGGUCUGUUUUACAUCUUUCUGAAAUGAAAUGCUUUGUUUGCAAAUACUUGUGAGGAGGCUAGUGAGGACUUAUUAAAAAUGCCAUGGUGUGAGUGACAGGUGGUGGCCUUCCCCUUAUAUUACCUAAUGGGCAAGUUGCUGGGCACUCUGGCAGGGACCUGGAGUCAAAAGUCAUAGUUACUACAGAAGAGUGUUAGCUUUGUUUUUCAGUGUGGAGGCAGGAGGGUUGACUAAAGGUGUUCUUUAUUUUUUUCAUUUUUGUUUUUCUGAUUGUAAAAAUAAGACAUAC